rnacentral:rRNA from 1 species
AUUGAACGCUGGCGGCAGGCUUAACACAUGCAAGUCGAGCGGAGAUGAGGUGCUUGCACCUUAUCUUAGCGGCGGACGGGUGAGUAAUGCUUAGGAAUCUGCCUAUUAGUAGGGGACAACAUUCCGAAAGGAAUGCUAAUACCGCAUACGCCCUACGGGGGAAAGCAGGGGAUCUUCGGACCUUGCGCUAAUAGGUGAGCCUAAGUCGGAUUAGCUAGUUGGUGGGGUAAAGGCCUACCAAGGCGACGAUCUGUAGCGGGUCUGAGAGGAUGAUCCGCCACACUGGGACUGAGACACGGCCCAGACUCCUACGGGAGGCAGCAGUGGGGAAUAUUGGACAAUGGGCGGAAGCCUGAUCCAGCCAUGCCGCGUGUGUGAAGAAGGCCUUUUGGUUGUAAAGCACUUUAAGCGAGGAGGAGGCUACCUGGAUUAAUACUCUAGGAUAGUGGACGUUACUCGCAGAAUAAGCACCGGCUAACUCUGUGCCAGCCGCCGCGGUAAGAC